rnacentral:rRNA from 1 species
GAUGAACGCUGGCGGCGUGCCUAAUACAUGCAAGUCGAGCGAACAGACGAGGAGCUUGCUCCUCUGACGUUAGCGGCGGACGGGUGAGUCACACGUGGAUAACCUACCUAUAAGACUGGGAUAACUUCGGGAAACCGGCGCUAAUCCCGGAUAAUAUCUUGAACCGCAUGGUUCAAUAGUGAAAGACGGUUUUGCUGUCACUUAUCGAUGGAUCCGCGCCGUAUGAGCUAGUUGGUAAGGUAAAGGCUUACCAAGGCAACGAUGCGUAGCCGACCUGAGAGGGUGAUCGGCCACACGGGAACUGAGACACGGUCCAGAGUACUACGGGAGGCAGCAGUAGGGAAUCGUCCGCAAUGGGCGAAAGCCUUACGGAGCAACGCCGCGUGAGUGAUGAAGGUCUUCGGAUCGUAAAACUCUGUUAUUAGGGAAGAACAAAUGUGUAAGUAACUAUGCACGUCUUGACGGUACCUAAUCAGAAAGCCACGGCUAACUACGUG